rnacentral:rRNA from 1 species
AUUGAACGCUGGCGGCAGGCCUAACACAUGCAAGUCGAACGAGUGGCGGACGGGUGAGUAAUGUCUGGGAAACUGCCCGAGGGGGGGGGAUACCUAUGGGAAAGGGAAGCUAAUACCGAUAACCAUCGGAGUGCCCAAAAUGGGAUUAGCUAUUAGGUGGGGUAACGGCUCACCUAGGCGACGAUCCCUAGCUGGUCUGAGAGGAUGACCAGCCACACUGGAACUGAGACACGGUCCAGACUCCUACGUGAGGCAGCAGUGGGGAAUAUUGCACAAUGGGCGCAAGCCUGAUGCAGCCAUGCCGCGUGUAUGAAGAAGGCCUUCGGGUUGUAAAGUACUUUCAGCGAGGAGGCGUUACUCGCAGAAGAAGCACUGGCUAACUCCGUGCCAGCAGCCGCGGUAAUAC